CCGGGGGACAAACAUUCCCGAAAAGGGAAUGCUAAUACCGGAUGUGACGCUCCUAUCGCAUGACGGGAGCGUGAAAGAUGGCCUCUACAUGUAAGCUAUCGCUAAAGGAUGGGCCUGCGUCUGAUUAGCUAGUUGGUAGUGUAACGGACAACCAAGGCGAUGAUCAGUAGCCGGUCUGAGAGGAUGAACGGCCACAUUGGGACUGAGACACGGCCCAG
rnacentral:rRNA from 1 species